rnacentral:lncRNA from 1 species
UGGGUGAAAAUUGAGCCCAGAAACGGAAUUUGAAGAUUUUUGAUGAAACUUUUGGAUCAAAGAAUCAAGAAAACCUUCUGGACACAAGAACACAAGGAAUUGAAAAAAAUUAGAAAACAAAGGAUAUAACCUGAUUAAAUUGGAGCCAAAGCUCUGAUACCAACUGAUGCGAACUCCGUAGCAAUGGAAACUACGAAACCCAC